CGUGGCUAACCUGCCCUUAGGAUGGGAACAACCCCGGGAAACUGGGGCUAAUUCCCGAUAGGUGAAGAACUCUGGAAUGAGUCUUUGCCCAAAAGGUGUCGGAUCAUGCUUUCGGCAUCGCCUAAGGAUGGGGCCGCGACCGAUCAGGUUGUUGGUGAGGUAAUGGCCCACCAAGCCUAUAACCGGUGCGGGCCGUGAGAGCGGGAGCCCGGAGAUGGGCACUGAGACAAGGGCCCAGGUCCUACGGGGCGCAGCAGUCGCGAAACCUUUGCAAUACACGAAAGUGUGACAGGGUCAUCCCGAGUGCCGACCGCUGAGGUUGGCUUUUACCCAGUCUAGAAAGCUGGGGGAAUAAGGAGAGGGCAAGUCUGGUGUCAGCCGCCGCGGUAAUACCAGCUCUCCGAGUGGUGUGGACGUUUAUUGGGCCUAAAGCAUCCGUAGCUGGCUGAACAAGUCCCCUGUUAAACCCACCGAUUUAAUCGUUGGUCUGCGGGGGAUACUGCUCGGCUAGGGGACGAGAGAGGCAGACGGUAUUCCCGGGGUAGGGGUGAAAUCCUAUAAUCCCGAGAAGACCACCAGUGGCGAAGGCUGUCUGCUAGAACGCGCCCGACGGUGAGGGAUGAAAGCUGGGGGAGCGAACCGGAUUAGAUACCCGGGUAGUCCCAGCUGU
rnacentral:rRNA from 1 species